AGGCAGCAGUGGGGAAUAUUGGGCAAUGGGCGCAAGCCUGACCCAGCAACGCCGCGUGAAGGAAGAAGGCUUUCGGGUUGUAAACUUCUUUUAAGAGGGAAGAGUAGAAGACGGUACCUCUUGAAUAAGCCACGGCUAACUACGUGCC
rnacentral:rRNA from 1 species